AGCUUUGCGCAGAGGCAGUGUCGCAUGCAAUGACGUUUUGCGGAGCAGCGACUAUUGCUAGUUGAAAACUUUUCCCAAUACCCCGCCUGGACGACGUGAAACACCGUCGGCCGAGGCAAUUUUUGGAAGGCCCUACGGGGC
rnacentral:snRNA from 1 species